GGAGGGUAUAGCUCAGUGGUAGAGUGUGUGCUUAGCAUGCACAAGGUCCUGGGUUCAAUCCCCAGUACUUCCA
rnacentral:tRNA from 1 species